UGGUCAGGGUCAAGGUUAGGGUCAGGGUGCAGCAGCAAGCAACUCUUCUGCCCCCUUUUCUUCACUUAUUUCUCCUUUAUGGUUACCUUAGCCAGAAACUGAACUUCAGAAAACUGCCUUGUAGAAAAACAGCUUUUCAGCCGCAUUCUCACCUCAAAUGUGUGUGCAACCCACUCAUCUGUCAGGAAUAUCUCUGCUGUUCACCAGUGUCUGCAAAUCACAGAGGUGAUGGUAUGAAAAAGGACCAGACCAAGCCGUGACUGCCCUGGGAGCCACUAGAAAGUUGUGGGCUGGGGCUCAACAGACGUCUUUGCUCCUUGGGUAUAAACUCCGAGAUGUCAGGAAGUUGCAAGUGCAGAACUGGAGGGUAGUGACGCAUUGCUUUCAAAACACAAAACUAAACUCUCCUUUGAGUCUGAGUUUAAAAAACAAGUGUGUUUAUUCUUACUUUCAAGCUCGGGUAUAGAGACACUGUUGUUAACUAAGCAUUGAACACAGAGAUUCCUUGGACGCUUUUGGGAACAUUCCUAGCAGCAGUGGAAACCAUUUCGCUGUAGCUCUCUCCUCUUCAUGACGUGCCUCGAAUAAUUCAGAUGACAGACACACUGAGAUGGCAAGAGCCUGCCUCCUGGGUUGCAUUUCCUUCCAGCGACUGAAGUAGCUCUCUCAGGUCCUUCAAGGAACUCUAAGUGGACACAUGACCUCAGGUCUCAGAAGGAGCGUCCCUCAGAAAAGUCUGAAUCCUCCCCAGUUGUUAGAGACGCGACUUACUUUAAAUAGCAGAUGCUUCUGGAAAGUUGGCAAAUACAAUUUUUGUGACUGAUGUAAUACCUCAAAUUGUACCAAGGAGGUUUUCUAUUUAAAGAAAACCUAUUGUGAAUUCUUUUGUGAAUAUUAACUCCCUUAUCUCUUUGGAUUAAAAUUAAAGUUCUGUAAAGUGGGGAGGGGCAGGGAUGCAUUUAAACAACCAGCAAGAGUUCGUUGAAUGAAAAUGCCAGCCUUUGUGUGUACAUGUUUAUGAUGGAAAUGAUGACCCUCUCGUCACCUUUUCUUAAAAACAAACCCAAACCCACCACACACAUCAGCUUACCUGCUUGCAGAGCCGUGCCAGGCCCGGGUGCAGACCUGCCCUUAGGUGAAUGAGAUGAUGCUUCAUCUCACAUCAUCCUUGUGACACCAACAUGAAGUGUCUGGUGGCCCCCUUGUACAGAUGUGGAAAUAAAGGCUCCAACUCAU